UGGGGAAUAUUGCACAAUGGGCGCAAGCCUGAUGCAGCCAUGCCGCGUGUAUGAAGCAGGCCUUCGGGUUGUAAAGUACUUUCAGCGAGGAGGAAGGCGUUGUGGUUAAUAACCGCAACGAUUGACGUUACUCGCAGAAGAAGCACCGGCUAACUCCGUGCCAGCAGCCGCGGUAAUACGGAGGGUGGAAGCGUUAAUCGGAAUUACUGGGCGUAAAGCGCACGCAGGCGGUCUGUCAAGUCGGAUGUGAAAUCCCCGGGCUCAACCUGGGAACUGCAUCCGAAACUGGCAGGCUAGAGUCUUGUAGAGGGGGGUAGAAUUCCAGGUGUAGCGGUGAAAUGCGUAGAGAUCUGGAGGAAUACCGGUGGCGAAGGCGGCCCCCUGGACAAAGACUGACGCUCAGGUGCGAAAGCGUGGGGAGCAAACA
rnacentral:rRNA from 1 species